GACGAACGCUGGCGGCGUGCCUAAUACAUGCAAGUCGAACGAACAGAUGGGAGCUUGCUCCCUGAUGUUAGUGGCGGACGGGUGAGUAACACGUGGGUAACCUGCCUGUAAGAUUGGGAUGACUUCGGGAAACCGAAGCUAAUACCGGAUAAUAUAUGAAACCGCAUGGUUUCAUAUUGAAAGAUGGCUUUUGCUAUCACUUACAGAUGGACCCGCGGCGCAUUAGCUAGUUGGUGAGGUAACGGCUCACCAAGGCAACGAUGCGUAGCCGACCUGGGAGGGUGAUCGGCCACACUGGGACGGAGACACGGCCCAGACUCCUACGGGAGGCAGCAGUAGGGAAGCUUCCGCAAUGGACGAGAGUCUGACGGAGCAACGCCGCGUGAGCGAAGAAGGCCUUCGGGUCGUAAAGCUCUGUUGUUAGGGAAGAACAAGUACCGUUCGAAUAGGGCGGUACCUUGACGGUACCUGACGAGAAAGCCACGGCUAACUACGUGCCAGCCGCCGCCGUAACAC
rnacentral:rRNA from 1 species